rnacentral:rRNA from 1 species
GCUGAAUAUUACAAAGUACUGAACAAUAAACUUCUCAAAGUUACAGAAAUUUGAGAGAGAGAGAGAGAGCAGCAGCAGCAGGUAGGUUCAGAGAAGAAGAGUAGCAAGGGAAGUAGAGAGAGAUAGCAGCAGGGGGUUGGGAGCAGCAGCAGGAGACGCUGGAGAAGCAGAAAGGGGCGCUGGAGAGAGGAAGAGCAGCAACAGGUUGGGAAAGAAGCAGGGGCGUGAGGAGAGAAGCAGCAGCAGUUUUAUGGUUCAGAAAAGAGGCAAAGAAGCAGAGGAAGUGGGGAUAAGAGGGCAACAGCAGGAAGGGAAAGGGAGUAGCAGAGACGUGGAGAGGAGCAGCAGAUCGGCGCAAGAGGAGGAGCAAGAGCAGUGAGGCAAGGGAAGAAGAGCAGCAGCAUCGAGAUUCAGAGAAGAAGAAGGGGAGCAGAGGAAGUGGAGUAGCAGCAGUAGGGACGAGGGGGGAAGCAGCAGCAAUUGGAGGCGCGCGGGGGAUCAGACACCUCGUCUGGUCGGGCGCGCAAGUGAUGGUGGUGAAGGGGUGGCGCUGAUGGAUGGUGCAGCGGCGCGAGGUGGUGAUGGAGUGGAUGGAUGGUGGUGUAUGGAGGUGCUGGUGGAUGGAGGGCGCGGUGAAGGUGGAGGCGCGGUGGAGCGGUGGCGCGCCCCACGCCGGCCUGGCUGCGGCGGCAGCCGGUGGUGGAGAAGGUGGGGUGAGGGAGAUGGAGAUGCCAGGCCCGAUUUGGGAAUCAGGGCGUCUAGGGAUUUUGACCUCCUCUGAUCUGCCAUUUUUUCACUUUGGCCCUCCUGCUUCCUUUCUUCUCAAGAUAAUCCUCCAACAUUAGUUUGCCCCUGGAUACUUCUUUUCUUCUCGCUCGGGUCCCUCGUUCUCUCGUUCCAGCCCCAAGUCUCAUCGCGUUUGGCAAUCGACUGAAUCUUGAAGUUUAUAGUGCCUUCUCGCACUUUUCUGCAAAAGAAACAAUUCACUAGUCAACAUGCUCUUAUAUGAUUAUCAUUCAAAUAUUCAGUAUUUCAUAGCAAAAAUUAAUGUCAGAACUCAACAAAUGGUAUAUUUGUAUGCCAAAAUUAUAUAUAUGAAAUGUGCUUAUC